rnacentral:rRNA from 1 species
CCUACGGGGGGCAGCAGUGGGGAAUAUUGGACAAUGGGCGAAAGCCUGAUCCAGCCAUGCCGCGUGUGUGAAGAAGGCCUUCGGGUUGUAAAGCACUUUCAGUGGGGAAGAAAGCCUUGGGGCUAAUACCCUCGAGGAAGGACAUCACCCACAGAAGAAGCACCGGCUAACUCCGUGCCAGCAGCCGCGGUAAUACGGAGGGUGCGAGCGUUAAUCGGAAUUACUGGGCGUAAAGCGCGCGUAGGCGGUCUGAUAAGCCGGUUGUGAAAGCCCCGGGCUCAACCUGGGAACGGCAUCCGGAACUGUCAGGCUAGAGUGCAGGAGAGGAAGGUAGAAUUCCCGGUGUAGCGGUGACAUGCGUAGAGAUCGGGAGGAAUACCAGUGGCGAAGGCGGCCUUCUGGACUGACACUGACGCUGAGGUGCGAAAGCGUGGGUAGCAAACAGGAUUAGAUACCCCGGUAGUC